rnacentral:rRNA from 1 species
GACGAACGCUGGCGGCGUGCUUAACACAUGCAAGUCGAACGGAAAGGCCCUGCUUGCAGGGUCCUCGAGUGGCGAACGGGUGAGUAACACGUGGGUGAUCUGCCCUGCACUUCGGGAUAAGCCUGGGAAACUGGGUCUAAUACCGGAUAGGAGCCAUUUUUAGUGUGAUGGUUGGAAAGUUUUUUCGGUGUAGGAUGAGCUCGCGGCCUAUCAGCUUGUUGGUGGGGUAAUGGCCUACCAAGGCGGCGACGGGUAGCCGGCCUGAGAGGGUGGACGGCCACAUUGGGACUGAGAUGCGGCCCAGACUCCUACGGGAGGCAGCAGUGGGGAAUAUUGCACAAUGGGCGCAAGCCUGAUGCAGCGACGCCGCGUGGGGGAUGACGGCCUUCGGGUUGUAAACUCCUUUCGCUAGGGACGAAGCUUUUUGUGACGGUACCUAGAUAAGAAGCACCGGCUAACUACGUG